rnacentral:rRNA from 1 species
GAUGAACGCUGGCGGCGUGCCUAAUACAUGCAAGUCGAGCGAACAGAUGAGGAGCUUGCUCCUCUGACGUUAGCGGCGGAUGGGUGAGUAACACGUGGAUAACCUACCUAUAAGACUGGGAUAACUUCGGGAAACCGGAGCUAAUACCGGAUAAUAUAUUGAACCGCAUGGUUCAAUAGUGAAAGACGGUUUUGCUGUCACUUAUAGAUGGAUCCGCGCCGCAUUAGCUAGUUGGUAAGGUAACGGCUUACCAAGGCAACGAUGCGUAGCCGACCUGAGAGGGUGAUCGGCCACACUGGAACUGAGACACGGUCCAGACUCCUACGGGAGGCAGCAGUAGGGAAUCUUCCGCAAUGGGCGAAAGCCUGACGGAGCAACGCCGCGUGAGUGAUGAAGGUCUUCGGAUCGUAAAACUCUGUUAUUAGGGAAGAACAAAUGUGUAAGUAACUAUGCACGUCUUGACGGUACCUAAUCAGAAAGCCACGGCUAACUACGUG